GGAGGAAAAGAAACUAACAAGGAUUCCCCUAGUAACUGCGAGUGAAGCGGGAAAAGCUCAAAUUUAAAAUCUGUCAGUCUUUGACUGUCCGAGUUGUAAUCUAGAGAAGUGUUAUCCGCGCUGGACCGUGUACAAGUCUCCUGGAAUGGAGCGUCAUAGAGGGUGAGAAUCCCGUCUUUGACACGGACUGCCAGGGCUUUGUGAUGCGCUCUCAAAGAGUCGAGUUGUUUGGGAAUGCAGCUCAAAAUGGGUGGUAAAUUCCAUCUAAAGCUAAAUAUUGGCGAGAGACCGAUAGCGAACAAGUACCGUGAGGGAAAGAUGAAAAGAACUUUGGAAAGAGAGUUAAACAGUACGUGAAAUUGCUGAAAGGGAAACGCUUGAAGUCAGUCGCGUUGUCCAGGAAUCAACCUUGCUUUUGCUUGGUGUACUUUCUGGUUAACGGGUCAGCAUCAAUUUUGACUGUUGGAAAAAGAUCAAGGGAAUGUGGCAUCUUUAGAUGUGUUAUAGCCCUUGGUUGCAUACAAUGGUUGGGAUUGAGGAACUCAGCACGCCGCAAGGCCGGGUAUUAACCACGUACGUGCUUAGGAUGCUGGCAUAAUGGCUUUAAUCGACCCGUCUU
rnacentral:sRNA from 2 species